rnacentral:misc_RNA from 1 species
CAACCCUCAAGCCCAGCUUGGUGUUGGGGCCCUACGUCGUAGGCCCCGAAAAACAGUGGCGGACUCGCUGAAGCCUCCUUUGCGCAGUAACACAUCUCGCACUGGGGCCCGGCGGGCUUCCUGCCGUAAAACCACCAUAUUUUACAA